rnacentral:rRNA from 1 species
UAGGGAAUCUUCCGCAAUGGACGCAAGUCUGACGGAGCAACGCCGCGUGAGUGAAGAAGGAUUUCGGUUCGUAAAACUCUGUUGUUAGAGAAGAACAGCGCAUAGAGUAACUGUUAUGCGUGUGACGGUAUCUAACCAGAAAGCCACGGCUAACUACGUGCCAGCAGCCGCGGUAAUACGUAGGUGGCAAGCGUUGUCCGGAUUUAUUGGGCGUAAAGCGAGCGCAGGCGGUCAAUUAAGUCUGAUGUGAAAGCCCCCGGCUCAACCGGGGAGGGUCAUUGGAAACUGGUUGACUUGAGUGCAGAAGAGGAGAGUGGAAUUCCAUGUGUAACGGUGAAAUGCGUAGAUAUAUGGAGGAACACCAGUGGCGAAGGCGACUCUCUGGUCUGUAGCUGACGCUGAGGCUCGAAAGCGUGGGUAGCAAACAGG